rnacentral:rRNA from 1 species
CGGUACGGGCCAUGAGAGUGGUAGCCCGGAGAUGGACACUGAGAUAGGGGUCCAGGCCCUACGGGGCGCAGCAGGCGCGAAAACUCCACACUGUACGUAAGUACGAUGGGGUUACCUCGAGUGUAGUCUGUAAAAGAUUGCUUUUCCAUAGAGUAAUAUCCUGUGGGAAUAAGAGGGGGGCAAGACUGGUGUCAGCCGCCGCGGUAACACCAGCCCCUCGAGUGGUAGGGACUUUUAUUUGGCCUAAAGCGUUCGUAGCCGUCUGUAACCGUUGCCCGUUAAAUCCAGCGUCUCAAGCGUUGGACUGCGGGCGAUACCUUACAGAUUGAGGGUGGGAUAGGUAAGCGGUAUUUCUGGGGUAGGGGCGAAAUCCUUUGAUCCCAGGAGGACCACCAGUGGCGAAGGCUGCUUACUAGAACACGCCUGACGGUCAGGAACGAAAGCUGGGGUAGCGAACCGGAUUAGAUACCCGGGUAGUCCCAGCUGUAAACGAUGCGCGCUAGGUGUUGGGUCGGCCAUGCGCCGCCCCAGUGCCGCAGGGAAGCCGUUAAGCGCGCCGCCUGGGGAGUACGGCCGCAAGGCUGAAACUUAAAGGAAUUGGCGGGGGAGCAC